UCUGGUUUCAAGACGUCCAGGCUGAAUUUUGUGACCUGCAGUGCUUCAUGGACCUAAUGACUCAGAUGCUGAUGAUGAGUCAGUAUAAAAGAAUUACCCCCGGCAGAAUUCUCCAGCAUCCAUUCAUCACCAUGAGCCACCUUCAAGGCUCAUACAAAAACAGCCUCUAUUUGAAGUCAUGCAAGGAUCUGAUGGACAUCUGCCAGGAUCAGAGCUCUGAGGAUGGAGGACAUUGAGACCAGGGGAUCCUGCAAAUGUCCCUGAACAAGGACUCCUCCAGCAGCACUGCCAGCCCAGCCAAGGAGGGCAGCAAAGUGAAUGCAAAGUCUGGCAACAGAUCAGUAGACUCCCAAGCCAAGGUCAGAAGGAGUGAACGACUGGCAGCCACUCGAAAGGGCACAAGUGGGAAAACAGGCCCAAACCAGUCCAAGAGGAUGUGAGAGAGGCAUGAUCCCUCAUCCAAUGGCAACCCCUCAAGAAAGAAGAGACACAUGGGCCCUGCUGGAAUGAGAGACUCCCAAGCCAAAGUCAGAAGGAGGGAACGACUGGCAGCCAUUCGAAAAGGUGCAAGUGGGCAAACGGGCCUUCCUUGGUUUUUUAAUAAUGAAAAAUUGUACAGGCGAACAUCCAUUUUCACCAUGUUACCACAAAUCGCUUGACAAUGUCAGCGAUCUCAUAUGUUGAAGAACCAUUACACAGAAGAGCUCGAGGAGUUCACCAAGGUGAAGGGAAAAAAGAACAAACUGUGUGCGCACAUGUAUCACUCGACUUCCAAAUGGGGCCCGAUCGAGAACUUCCACUGAUUUAUACAUUCUUAACGAUUUACAACUUCUCAUCAAUACCACUUCAGAAAUUGAACUUGACAACACACGCAGUUAGGGUAUCCACAAAUUAUAACCCCUAACCUCAACAAUACAAAACCACUGCAAAGGAAACCACAAAGUGACAGCAAAGUGUUUGUCAAACUCACACUCAAGAUUCAAACAAAACUAUUCUUCUUAAAUUUACACUUCGUCACUUUGAACAAAGUCAUAUACAUUGAACUACAAAUAACAUGAAGCAAGGAAUAGAGACUCAUCAAGCUUAAUCAUUCAUUUUAGGAUAUGAUGAAUAAUAUCUUGGUAAUUUAACAACUAGUAGUAAUAUUUCAGCAAUAACUAUUUGUGAAUCAUUAUGUAGCGUACAUCAUUAGGGUAAAUAAAAUAAAUAAAAUAAUGAAAAAGUAUAAAACGGGUAUAGUUUCAGAAAUGGUACCAUGGCUGCAUCUAACAAUAACUGUCUAUUGUGCUAAUGAUUAAUACAAUAAUUAUUCAGAUUAUAUAAUGUAAAAAACAGUUAGUUAAUAAAUAACUAAGGAUCGUCAAUAAUGGAUGUAGCCACUUUCAAUAGCCAAAGAUGAAUAAUUAAAUGUAGUUCUCCGUAGUUUUUGUUUGUUUGUAGGAAACUCCCUCUUCACAGCUGUGAUGAAAAUGGCCGGCGGAGCGAGGGUAUGAAUAAAGAAGAGCUGUUCUGUUUAAAAUACAUCCUCCAGCUUUACUUUAUCUGAUCCAUUACAUAGUUUUUUUUUCACAGCCGGAUUCCUGCACACAAUGACGCAGUCACUGCACAUUACGCCGAGACUCGCUGAAAGACCGCAUUUGCAGUACCUGCCUGUACUAUGACGUCCUAAGACCCACUAUGAGCCGGUAUGAAGGAGCUUCCAGUACAACCAACCGGACCUUGCCUCAGCAUUGAGGAGUUCAGGAGACGGCAGAGAAGAAAGAGGCUGAUUGAAGCGGGACAGAUGACAUGGAUCCAUCCUUCCACAGCCAGGAGCUCAACAACCUGUGUGCCACACUUCAAAUAAGACUAGAAGCUACACUGGAUCUCACAGCUACACACCACAGACGUCUACACACCACAGACGUCUACACACUGGGGCAGAUUCAGACAGAGUCCCACAAAGAACAUAUGACCCAGAGGCUGCAAAGAGACAUUUCAAGCUUCACCUGA